GGUGGAGACGGGCGGUGCCGCCCACCCCGACUGUAAAUCGGGUGCCCGCGAGGGCGUUGCCGGUUGGACUCCGGCCUCCACCACCA
rnacentral:tRNA from 1 species